rnacentral:snRNA from 1 species
GUGCUCGCUUCGGUAGCACAUAUGCUAAAAUUGGAACGAUACAGAGAAGAUUAGCAUGGCCCCUGCACAAGGAUGACGCACAAAUUCGUGAAGUGUUCCAUAUUUUU